rnacentral:rRNA from 1 species
AUGUUUUCGUUUGCCUUUUUCUUGUUUGCUUCUUUGCUUGCUUGUUAUCUUGUUUGCGUAGUCACGGUGUCUCAAGAAAAUACAAAAUUGUGUGAUUUUGCCAAUACUAAUGAUAUGCUUAUUAGUACUCCGAUUGCUCCUCCAACCGCUAGUGCGGAGACUUGUGAUAUUAAUGCCGCUUUGCUAAAUCUUGUUAUGAAAGAACAAUUUUCUUGUAGUCCUAAUGAAAAUGUUACAUUCCAUCUUAACACUUUCAAAAACAUGUGUGACAUGCAAAAGGAAAAAGAUGUGGAUAAUGAUACUAUGAAAUUAAAAUUAUUUCCAUCUCAUUGCGGGAUCGUGCAAAAUUUUGGUUUUCAUCUUUGCCACGUAAUAGUUUUGAUUCUUGGGAUAGGUGCAAAGAUGCUUUUAUCACUAAGUAUUUUCCUCCCGUGA